rnacentral:lncRNA from 1 species
GCACAGGUGCCGAGCGGCGGCACGCGGCCGUUGGCGCUGGGCUGCGGCGCGGCGCGAGCGGCUCGGCGGCCGAGGGAGCCUGGCGCCGUGCUCGCCGCCGCGUGCCCGCCGGGGGUGCGCAGCUGCGCCCUGACGUGCCGCCGUUCGGACAGCGGCGGGAGCAGCCGCCGUCACCCGCGGUGGUGCCGCUGCCCCGUGGCAGCCUGGCCCGCGUCGUUUGAAAAAGUUGUUGCUGUGGUAGAGUUGCCGCGAAGAAGGACGAAUCGAUGUUUUCCGCGCCUGGAGGACGGAGCAAUUCGCUGAGAGGUUUCCGCGAUGCGCGAUCCAAACUGCGGCAAGCGGAGAUUGGGAUGGCGGUAACCGACUUUUGCCAACGGAAAAAGUUUGUCAGACUUUUUUUGGAGGGAGCCUUCUCCCUCGUCACGAAAACCUUCCUUUACGUAAGAAAAGCCGUCUGUUAGGAAAUGCAAGAAAUAAACGCAUCGUUACAGGACGAUGGCUGAGGGAUGGUACCGCCGUGGAAACGAUGGGUCGGGCUUCGGCUCAUGGUGGGAUUGCUGAGCAGUGGAGAUUCACGGCUUCAGACAGAGCUGCAAGUCGAACCCGCUGUCCAUGCCGUGCCUCGUUCACGCUGUUCUUCACAUCAGCCUCUGGGAGUUUUCGCCAUCUCCAGCCUCCAUGCGUAAGCAGUGCAGUCUUCAUUAAAUGCGGGUAUUUGUUUCACCAGUAACUCAUCUGUUUCUGAAGCACCAGGAGGCAAAGUUCAAACCCUGCAAAGUCCAUUUGGGGUUCGGUUAAUGGACGUGAGGCACCCUACGUUUCGGAGAGCAGUUUGAGCGGUGUCAUGUCAGGAAGCAUCCCAGCAGACAUCAGCUGAAACCUUCACUCAUUCAAAGAUGGGUCUUGGUGUAUAUCCAGAAAUGCUCUUAUCUUGACGAGCUUAGCUACAUCCUGAGCUCUGCUGCAUUUUCACACAGACAGGAAAAAGGUUGAACUCCACCCAACCGUGUCACUGCGUUCAGCCCACACACAGCACACUUGGGUAAAACAGCACUGCUCAUGGGUAACAAAGUGCCGAGAGCACAGCCCUAACUGCACAUCUGCCCACUGACAGCAGCACUUCCCCAAGAAGUAACCAACUUAGAGAAUUAACAUCCUCCACCUCCUAGGAGAGGUCGAUGUCUGGUUGAAAAUAAGAUCACCUUCUAUUCUUGCAGUGCUACUGGAUACAAGUGUCGAAACAAGAGGAUCUUUUUGUCUUCAAUGCAGAUUCAUAACUUUGUAUCCUAAUCUUAAGAUCAGAAAAAAAUGGACAGUGUUGCACGCUUGUACAAAUCUGUAUCUAAACUGUCAUACUAACAACUUGUUUCCAGCUGGGAGGUGCUCAUUUGUACAUUGCUACAUUUAAACCAUUGUACAGUUCAUAAAAUAACCAAUUAGAAUGGUCAAGCAAAUACACCCAAGCUUUGAUCAGUCAGAUAGCCAGUCCUGUGGGAAAGGACUGUUACAGAUGAACAACACACUGCUGCAGCUGUCAACAAAACAGGGUACACGGGAGCCCACCACCCAAGUUGCUGCUGCUAUGUUUCACUCUCAAGAUUUCCCACUUAAACUUGAAGGGACAGAGCCUCAGGUAAUGACAACCUUAGAUUAUGAGUGCUGUAUUUUCUCUUGUACAUCCCUCUUAAUACUUCAACUAACAAAAUAUGACGCUCGGAUCACUUUUCUGCCUUGUCAGGUGUUGUUCAUCAGUCCUGAGAAUUCAUAAUAAAUGUUCUCAGAUUAUUCUGUACUUAUUUGCUGUUUGUGACCAAACCAGCACCUUUAUUUGGACCACUGUAGUCUCAAAUGAAGCACCUGUCAUUCAUUAUUUUUACUAUUUAUUCCUGAGAGAACCGAUACACUUUUAGCACCCAAAGCAACCUAUGGCAAUGACUUCUGCAAAAUGUAGUACUUGUGGAUUUCUUUAUGUGUUAAAUAUGCUUCCUGAUAAAUCAGUUGCCUACCAUUUCCUGUAGGAGUUCCUGCAGAAAUUAUUAAUGAAAUAUUCUUGCAAGAAUCAGUAGAAAAAGGAAACCACAGAGAUUCUAUUUAACAACGCAUUCAGCAGCACUCCAUAGCACCUAAGAUUUUAUUCUAAGUUGCCAGUUAUGCAGACUGGGAGUUCUGGUUUAAUUAACCUUCCUGUGCACUGAAGCUGUCCUGGCUGCCAUUCUCUGUGGUUUUGGUAGUUUUGUGGUAUCAUUUGUAAGGGGGAAUCUUUAAAAAUAUGUAUGGUAUUCAAAGAACUUUCUUAUUUGUCAGCUGAACCAUUCAUGUUGUUAAAAAGCACAGGAAGCUCUUCCAUAUGACAAAGAGAAGAAUGAAAAUCCUCUUGAUUCAUUUCAUGUAAAUUCUAGACAUAAAAUAAGUUACUAGGUGGGUUUUCUGAGCGUCUGUCCUCCAAGCAAUGCUCUCAGCAUAACCAUUAGGCUUUUAAACAGCAUCUCCAUUUACUCAUUGCCUUUUACAUGAUAUGAAACUGGGCACGUGUUUAGAGCUGAGAGUUCUGUUACAACUUGAUGAUCAAAUUCUUUUUAAAUUGUUUCUCUUAUGGUUAAUGGCUUUCAGAAAUCCAAAAUUCAGAGCAAUUUCUCUUAGUUACUGGAUUGUGUUUCCAAGAUGUAUAAUAAGCUAUUCUAGCAAGGGAGGUAUUUUUUAGUAGAGGAUGUUGAAGCAUUAUUUCAAAUAGUUUUUUAAGUAGGUUUAGUGUCCAUUGAGAGGUUUUGUUCUGCCAAAGGGCUGGUAGCAACACCUGCUGAGAUAUCUUGCCAUCUGCUUAUACAUCCAAGAGCCGUAAGAUUGGAUUAGUAAAACUUUUCCUCAUAUCCUAUGACCACCAUUUCUUUUCUGUAUUUGGGUGUAUUUUGGAUGAAGCACCUAACUUCACAAGUUUUCUCUACAAGAAAGAAAUUCUAAGUUAAGUUGGAAUGAACUACACUGAGCUGAGUUCAGCUUUGCAGAGAUGAAGGUAGAGUUUGCAAAUUCUGAAGGAUCUCCCACAAAAUGUACACUAGUCAAACAGUAUCAGGGAUCUCAAUCAUAAAAUGUUUUACUGCAUAUAUAGAUAUUCUAGCAUUCCUUAACACAUUGCUCUUCAUUUGUAUUACUGAUUUGGCGUGGCUUCCUCUGCUGUUCUUACUGAUGGCAUCCUUUGAUGAACUGUUCAUAAACUCCAGAUUAAACAAAUUUUAGACAUGGAAGUCUGAGAGCAAUUCAGACUGUUUCAGGCACAUUAAGGCUCCUUUGUUAGUGUCUCUGCAUCCAUGAUGGCCAGAUGGGUGGAACAUUCACCAAGGAAGAAGAAGACCUUGAUUUCUAAAUCCUAAACUACAAGUUAGAGACCCCUUUUGUUAAGCACAAGGCACAGUUCAAUCAGGAAUGCAGGAGCUAUGGGGGCUAAAAAGAGACUAACAAAGACAGGCUGAUUCUAUUGAGAAUGCGAUUAACUUGGAGAAGGGGAAAACAAUACUGUGAUCUGCUUGCAAUUCCCAGUGCUGUUUAUUUAUUUAUAUCCACUGAUGCUUAAAUGGGAAAUGCAUAAACAAGUCUUUAGAGCACAGACAUGUUGACUUUCAGAUAAAGGUGGGAUCAUUGAGACAACUCUUUGUCUUGGAUCAGUCACUAUGAAAAAGUACAUUAAGAGUUUUCAUGCACUACAAGCGAACAAGUUAUCCCCAUAACAUAACUCAAAUACAACUAGCUUACAAUAUUCCCAGUUUUAAACGGCAUAUAUUUGUAUGCUCCUGCUCUUGAUGAGAUACCAAAAUUAAAUUCAUUUAUAUUUGCAUCAGUUCUACAUUUUCAUGAAUGCAAAGUUUACACUACACUUAUAUCUUAGCCUUGGCAGAAUCUUACAGCUAUUCUAGAUAUAUUCUAGAUAUUCUAGACCUUCUGAAUCUUAACCAAUACAAACUCCAGUCUAGCAAGUGGCUGCGUGCUCUGUUCCCCAAUUAACACAAAGCUUCAUCACCCUUUGGGGAUAAAAAUAAACUGCUAUGUGUAUUAUCUUACCCAUAAUUCAUUUAUUUACGGAGUUAGUGAAACUCAUAAUUAACUAGACCUCUCACGGGGGCUAAUUUCCUUCUGUUCUUUCUGGCACACUGGUAUAAAGUUCAGAAAAUGGCACAAUUUGCAAUGCAUCUCUCCUCUAGGAGACCCAUGUCAUCAUCUGAUCACAGAUUCAAUCUCUUUUAUUUUUUCCUUUGUACCCUUCAGCUUAGAUUCCUGGUUGCACAGUGAUCCAACUUCGCAUGGAGGCAUGAAAGAAUUCCACCAUAGAAUUAUUUAGCUUGCGAUUACAGUGUAUUCCUGGAAAGCAUGCACAGGUGGUUCAGGUUCAAGCAGGGAUGCAUGAGGAUUGGAAUCCAGGUUUCCCAUUUCAGUGUUGCACCUUCUUAUGACAAUGCUUUCUGGCAGAAGAGUUCAGUAGCAUACAAAGUAAACACUUUUUGAAAGAAAGAAUAAUAUAUAGUGGGAAACAACUCAGGAGAAAAGCUCCAGUAUGCUUCAGGGGACAAGAAGCAGACACUGAAGCCAUUCUGAAUCUGAGUGUGGUCAGUAAUCCGGUUUUACACAAGAAAUAAGGGGGGGAAAAAAGCAUAACUGCGUUGAAGACAUAGCUUAGAUAGUUUAUGAGUGGGACUUGGGUACAUGUCCUACUGGGAAGCUACCUCCAUUGUCCAAGAAGUUCCAUUACUUUUAUUUCCUCCUUAUAGGUUUUUAGCAGGUACAGCAUGAUUUUCAACUUAAAAAUGAUCAGUUUUACAUAGGUUUCUUUAUAAAAGACAUCAUUCUGUAUAAAUAGUCUUCCCUUUUUACUUUUUGUUCCACUUUAAUUUACUGUUACCUAUCUAGCUUGGGGGGAAAAAAAGAAAACAAAAAAAAAGCAUUCUUCUCACAGUACUUACCAAACAACAUUAAAAAAAAACUAACCUUAUCAAAUACAUUAGGAAGCAUGAAAGACUUGCUUACACUAUCAUAAACUGAAUUUGCAUCUUCUUACCACAUUCAGUUUUCCAUCCAGUGAUUUUUUCCUUGCACAGUCUUCCUAUAGAAGGAAAGUAAAGUUAAUGUAAUUCACGUUUUUGUCCUUGAUUAACCUGAUUAAUAGAAAAUACAUAUACACAAUACAGUGAGAUGCAUACUUCCAUAAAUAAUUUAAUUGAGAUAUAUAUUUUAAGAGUUAAGAAGGUUAAGAAGAGGGUCACAGAGAUGAUCAGAAGGCUGGAGCACCUCUCCUAUGAAGAAUGGCUGAAGGAGCUGGGCUUGUUCAGUCUGGAGAAGAGAAGGCUGCAGGGAAACUUCAUUGUGGCCUUCCAGUAUUUAUAUGAAGAUUAUAACAACAAGGGAAAUCAACUUCUUACACUGGUGGAUAGUGAUAGAACAAAGGGGAAUUAUUUUAAACUAAAGGAGGGAAGAUUUAGAUUAGACACCAGAGGGAUUUUUUUUCACUGAGAGGAUGGUGAGGUGCUGGAAGAGGUUGUCCAGAUGUUUGAGGUUUUGGA